rnacentral:rRNA from 1 species
GACGAACCGUGCGAACGUUAUUCGGAAUCACUGGGCUUAAAGCGCGUGUAGGCGGGACGGCACGUCCGACGCUGAAAUCCCCAGGCUCAACCUGGGAACUGCGUCCGAUACUGGAUGGCUUGAAUCCGGGAGAGGGAUGCAGAAUUCCAGGUGUAGCGGUGAAAUGCGUAGAUAUCUGGAGGAAUACCGGUGGCGAAGGCGGCAUCCUGGACCGGCAUUGACGCUGAGGAGCGAAAGCCAGGGGAGCAAACGGG